rnacentral:rRNA from 1 species
AGUAAAUAGAUACCCUGGUAGUCCACGCUGUAAACGAUGUGUGCUGGAUGUUGGGUGACUUAGUCAUUCAGUGUCGUAGUUAACGCGAUAAGCACACCGCCUGGGGAGUACGGCCGCAAGGUUGAAGCUCAAAGGAAUUGACGGGGGCCCGGCCACAAGCGGUGGAGCAUGUGGUUUAAUUUACGAAGCAACGCGCAGAACCUUACCAGGGCGUUGACAUGGGGAGGGCUGCAGUCAGAGAUGGCUGUUUCUUCGCAAGAGACCUCCUGCACAGGUGCUGCAUGGCUGUCGUCAGCUCGUGUCGUGAGAUGUUGGGUUAAGUCCCGCAACGAGCGCAACCCUCGCCUUUAGUUGCCAGCAUGAUUGGGUGGGUCACUCUAAACGGAACUGCCGGUGACAAGCCGGGGGUAAGGUGGGAUGACGUCAAGUCCUCAUGGCCCUUAUGUCCUGGGCUACACACGUGCUACAAUGGCGGUGACAGUGGGAAGCCGAGGCAGUGAUGCC